rnacentral:rRNA from 1 species
CUAGGACUAGUAACAAGAAUAUAAAAUUCUCCUAGAUGCAAGCAUAAACCAAAUUUACCCCCGCUGGCACUUAACGAAAAUGAGUCAAUUACGCAACACCUACAAGAAAACCCUGUACCCCCCCCCCGUUUACCUAACAAUAGAGCAUUACAGGAAAGAUUAACAGAGGGGGAAGGAACUCGGCAAAUAACAACCUCGCCUGUUUACCAAAAACAUCGCCUCUUGACCCCAUAAGAGGUCCAGCCUGCCCUGUGACAAAGUUCAACGGCCGCGGUAUCCUAACCGUGCAAAGGUAGCAUAAUCACUUGUUCUUUAAAUAAGGACCUGUAUCAACGGCACCACGAAGGUUGCACUGUCUCCCCCCUCUAAUCAGUGAAACUGAUCUCCCCGUGAAGAAGCGGGGAUACACCUAUAAGACGAGAAGACCCCAUGGAGCUUAAGACCCACAGCAACUCGAUUACAUUUUUCCUCUUAACCUACAGAGCCAUGCAUUUCGGUCUUAGGUUGGGGCGACCGCGGAGUAAAAACUAACCUCCACGAUGAAAAGAACUAAUUCUUUAUCCUAGAGCCACCCCUCCAAGAACUAGUACACUAACGUAAGUGACCCAACUAUUGAUCAACGAACCAAGUUACCCUGGGGAUAACAGCGCAAUCUACUUCAAGAGCCCCUAUCGACAAGUAGGCUUACGACCUCGAUGUUGGAUCAGGGUAUCCCAGUGG